rnacentral:rRNA from 1 species
CUAGUAGGCGGCUUAGCAAGUCGGGUGUGAAAACUUCAGGCUCAACCUGGAGCGGCCAUCCGAUACUGCUAUGGCUAGAGUCCGGUAGGGGACCACGGAAUUCCUGGUGUAGCGGUGAAAUGCGCAGAUAUCAGGAGGAACACCGAUGGCGAAGGCAGUGGUCUGGGCCGGAACUGACGCUGAAUAGCGAAAGCGUGGGUGGCGAACA